CAGGACUUGACAUGCAACUGCACCACCCGUAAUGGGGUGUCCGAGCAAUCGGCGGUUGCACAGGUGCUGCAUGGCUGUCGUCAGCUCGUGUCGUGAGAUGUUGGGUUCAGUCCCGCAACGAGCGCAACCCCUGCCACUAGUUGAAUGGUCUAGUGGGACCGCCGCGAUCAACGCGGAGGAAGGCGGGGAUGACGUCAAGUCAGCACGGCCCUUACGUCCUGGGCGACACACACGCUACAAUGGUCGGUACAACGGGCAGCCAACCCGCGAGGGGGAGCCAAUCCCAUCAAAGCCGGCCUCAGUUCAGAUUGCAGGCUGCAACCCGCCUGCAUGAAGGAGGAGUUGCUAGUAACCGUGGGUCAGCACACCACGGUGAAUACGUUCCC
rnacentral:rRNA from 1 species